rnacentral:rRNA from 1 species
AGAGUUUGAUCCUGGCUCAGGAUGAACGCUGGCGGCGUGCCUUAGGCGUGCAAGUCGAGCGCACUGAAAAAUCGCAAGAUUUUUUAGUGAGCGGCAGACGGGUGAGGAACACGUGGGAAUCUACCCUUUGGUCGAGGAUAGCUCGCCGAAAGGCGGGGUAAUCCUAGAUAAGCCCGCGAGGGCAAAGGUCAUAACUGACCGCCGAUGGAGGAGCCUGCGUCCUAUCAGCUUGUUGGUGGGGUAACGGCCUACCAAGGCGAUGACGGGUAGCUGAUCUGAGAGGAUGGUCAGCCACAAGGUCACUGAGACACGGGGCCUACACCUACGGGUGGCAGCAACCGGGAAUCUUGCGCAAUGGGCGAAAGCCUGACGCAGCGACGCCGCGUGAGGGAUGAAGGCUUUAGGGUCGUAAACCUCUUUUUAGCUAAUGUCGAAUUAAUUAGAAUAAGCACCUGCAAACUCCGUGCCAGCAGCCGCGGUAAUACGGAGGGUGCGAGCGUUAUCCGGAUUUAUUGGGCGUAAAGGGUUUCGUAGGCGGUUUGGUAAGUAAUGGGUCAAAGCUCCAGGCUCAACCUGGGAAAGGCUUAUUAAACUACCAGACUAGAAAGCUGUCGGGGAGGCUGGAAUUCUGCAAGUAGGGGUGAAAUCCGUUGAGAUGCAGAAGAACACCAAGGGCGAAGGCAGGCCUCUAGGCAGAUUUUGACGCUCAGGAACGAAAGCUAGGGGAGCGAAUGGGAUUAGAGACCCCAGUAGUCCUAGCCGUAAACAAUCCUUGCUAGUUGUCCCGAGUCUAACUUGGG